rnacentral:rRNA from 1 species
UACGGAGGGUGCAAGCGUUGUUCGGAUUCACUGGGUAUAAAGGGUGCGCAGGCGGCCCGAUAAGUCAGGGGUUAAAUAUGACGGCUCAACCGUCAAGCCGCCCCUGAAACUGUCGGGCUUGAGUCCGGGAGAGGAAGGUGGAAUUCCUGGUGUAGCGGUGAAAUGCGUAAAUAUCAGGAGGAACACCGGUAGCGAAGGCGGCCUUCUGGCCCGGUACUGACGCUCAGGCACGAAAGCCAGGGGAGCAAACGGG